AUACGGAGGGUGCAAGCGUUAUCCGGAAUCACUGGGUUUAAAGGGUGCGUAGGCGGCUAAAUAAGUCAGAGGUGAAAUCUUUCCGCUUAACGGAAAAAUUGCCUUUGAAACUGUAUAGCUUGAAUGAAGUUGAGGUUAGCGGAAUGUGACAUGUAGCGGUGAAAUGCAUAGAUAUGUCAUAGAACACCAAAUGCGAAGGCAGCUAGCUAGGCUUGAAUUGACGCUGAGGCACGAAAGCGUGGGGAGCGAACAGGAUUAGAAACCCUAGUAGUCC
rnacentral:rRNA from 1 species